AUGAUGCCCAGCUUGCUGGGUGGAUUAGUGGCGAACGGGUGAGUAACACGUGAGUAACCUGCCCCUGACUCUGGGAUAAGCGUUGGAAACGACGUCUAAUACUGGAUAUGAUCACUGGCCGCAUGGUCUGGUGGUGGAAAGAUUUUUUGGUUGGGGAUGGACUCGCGGCCUAUCAGCUUGUUGGUGAGGUAAUGGCUCACCAAGGCGACGACGGGUAGCCGGCCUGAGAGGGUGACCGGCCACACUGGGACUGAGACACGGCCCAGACUCCUACGGGAGGCAGCAGUGGGGAAUAUUGCACAAUGGGCGAAAGCCUGAUGCAGCAACGCCGCGUGAGGGAUGACGGCCUUCGGGUUGUAAACCUCUUUUAGUAGGGAAGAAGCGAAAGUGACGGUACCUGCAGAAAAAGCACCGGCUAACUACGUGCCAGCAGCCGCGGUAAUACGUAGGGUGCAAGCGUUGUCCGGAAUUAUUGGGCGUAAAGAGCUCGUAGGCGGUUUGUCGCGUCUGCUGUGAAAUCCCGAGGCUCAACCUCGGGCUUGCAGUGGGUACGGGCAGACUAGAGUGCGGUAGGGGAGAUUGGAAUUCCUGGUGUAGCGGUGGAAUGCGCAGAUAUCAGGAGGAACACCGAUGGCGAAGGCAGAUCUCUGGGCCGUAACUGACGCUGAGGAGCGAAAGCAUGGGGAGCGAACAGGAUUAGAUACCCUGGUAGUCCAUGCCGUAAACGUUGGGCGCUAGAUGUAGGGACCUUUCCACGGUUUCUGUGUCGUAGCUAACGCAUUAAGCGCCCCGCCUGGGGAGUACGGCCGCAAGGCUAAAACUCAAAGGAAUUGACGGGGGCCCGCACAAGCGGCGGAGCAUGCGGAUUAAUUCGAUGCAACGCGAAGAACCUUACCAAGGCUUGACAUACACCGGAAACGGCCAGAGAUGGUCGCCCCCUUGUGGUCGGUGUACAGGUGGUGCAUGGUUGUCGUCAGCUCGUGUCGUGAGAUGUUGGGUUAAGUCCCGCAACGAGCGCAACCCUCGUUCUAUGUUGCCAGCGGGUUAUGCCGGGGACUCAUAGGAGACUGCCGGGGUCAACUCGGAGGAAGGUGGGGAUGACGUCAAAUCAUCAUGCCCCUUAUGUCUUGGGCUUCACGCAUGCUACAAUGGCCGGUACAAAGGGCUGCGAUACCGUAAGGUGGAGCGAAUCCCAAAAAGCCGGUCUCAGUUCGGAUUGAGGUCUGCAACUCGACCUCAUGAAGUCGGAGUCGCUAGUAAUCGCAGAUCAGCAACGCUGCGGUGAAUACGUUCCCGGGCCUUGUACACACCGCCCGUCAAGUCAUGAAAGUCGGUAACACCCGA
rnacentral:rRNA from 2 species